AAUACAUGCAAGUCGAACGAGGUGCUUUUGUAGCAAUACGAGAGUAUCCUAGUGGCGAACGGGUGUGUAACGCGUUGGUGACCUACCCCAAAGUGUGGGAUAACAGUCCGAAAGGAUUGCUAAUACCGCAUGUGGUCAUUGGAUUUAGAAACUGAUGACUAAAGGAGCAAUUCGCUUUGGGAGGGACCUGCGUCCCAUCAGCUAGUUGGUGAGGUAACGGCUCACCAAGGCGACGACGGGUAGGGGACCUGAGAGGGUGACCCCCCACAAUGGAACUGAAACACGGUCCAUACACCUACGGGUGGCAGCAGUAGGGAAUAUUGCACAAUGGGCGAAAGCCUGAUGCAGCAACGCCGCGUGUGUGAUGAAGGCCUUCGGGUCGUAAAGCACUUUUCUGGGAGAUGAGAAAGGACAGUAUCCCAGGAAUAAGUCUCGGCUAACUACGUGCCAGCAGCCGCGGUAAAACGUAGGAGGCAAGCGUUAUCCGGAUUCACUGGGCGUAAAGCGCGUGCAGCGGUGCCGGUAAGUUAGGCGUGAAAUC
rnacentral:rRNA from 1 species